AGCUGUUGGGCUAAUAGCAAGAGAUGGGUAUUCAACUGGUUGACCUCCAAUUCAUGUGAGUAUAAAUAGGUCAGCUACUAGGACUCAGAAUAAGCAUUGACUUAAGGGUUGGAAUGUUAUAUUUUGUUGUUUAGGUAUGUGAAGUAUAGGAAUAAUUGCUAGGAUGAGAAGGGAGAAUAUGAAGGUUGGAACACCCUAAGGUACUACAAAUGCUUAUUUGUACACACUACAUUUUCCCACAAAACCACAUCCAAAAGCUCCCCACAUGUAUAUAAUUGUAUAUAAGCAUGAAGUAAACUCUCUUCACUCAAUUACAGCACAUUCCCCCAUAAAAGGACUAUCCAAUCCUUUCCCACACGACUAUUGCCCCAUAUUAAAAAUCCUUAUUAUUACUUAGCUUAAAAUUCUUACAUAUUACAUAUCUUAAAAAUCCUUAAUAUCACAUAAGGAGAGAGCACUCAUCUAGAGUUAGGGAGGAGGGAAAGCAGGAGGCAGUUCUACAAGACAACGGUCCUAGUGACGUUCCCCUGGUCUUCAAGAAGAACCUUCACAUUCCCUACAGAUAGCGGCCUUGGCAGAAA